UGAGGAAUAUUGGUCAAUGGACGUAAGUCUGAACCAGCCAAGUAGCGUGCAGGAUUGACGGCCCUAUGGGUUGUAAACUGCUUUUGUUGGGGAGUAAAGUGAGGCACGCGUGCCUUUUUGCAUUUACCCUUCGAAUAAGGACCGGCUAAUUCCGUGCCAGCAGCCGCGGUAAUACGGAAGGUCCAGGCGUUAUCCGGAUUUAUUGGGUUUAAAGGGAGUGUAGGCGGUCUGUUAAGCGUGUUGUGAAAUUUAGGUGCUCAACAUCUACCUUGCAGCGCGAACUGGCGGACUUGAGUGCACGCAACGUAUGCGGAAUUCAUGGUGUAGCGGUGAAAUGCUUAGAUAUCAUGACGAACUCCGAUUGCGAAGGCAGCGUACGGGAGUGUUACUGACGCUUAAGCUCGAAGGUGCGGGUAUCGAACA
rnacentral:rRNA from 1 species